AACAUGAGCACUGGAGUAAAUGUUCUUUCAACAGUCUUUGGUAUAAAAGUAGGAGCUACUGAGCUCAACAUUUGUGAUCAUCACAGAUCCAGCAUCAGUUUCUCCACUUCAGGAAGUCCAAUAUCAAACUCCACACAUGCAGUGGGAUCGAAUUGGCACUGCACGAAUUUCGGUGGAGGAAGAUUGUGAAGGAUCAACGCUAGGUCACUGAUAUUGCUAGGGGCAAAAUGCUGUUGCGUGUUUAAUUCGGGGAAGAGCAGAAAUACAUCAAGCUGUCUGAGCUGACAUUCAAUGCUUACUUGAAAGAAGCGUGUCUAAAAUUCAACAUACCAGAAAGCACGCAGCCAGACAUUAAGGUGUAUGACCAGUCAGACACAGAAGUUGACACGGAGGUUUUUGAAGAAAUAGUGAAGGAGUCACCUGGAACUCUGAGAAUCAUGCUGGGCAAUGGAGGACUAGGUGCCUCUCAGUUAUCAUCAAGCUCAGGUACAUCUGAUGACACCUUCAUCCUGAAUUUCACAAUGUGUGACACUGUUAAAGAAGAAGCCGCUGCCGAAGGAAGCCAGCCUAAAAGGCCAUGCCACAUAAACUACGAGGCAAAAGCGAAAGCACAUUGACACCUAUAGUUGAUUGAAAAAUCAAAGCCUGGUGGUGAACAAAUUAUGCAAGAGUAUGGAAAAACCAAAUCCAUGACAGAUGCCACCAGAAGAUGAUUAACAUACUUGCUGCUGAGAUGACAGAAACACAUGGGACAUCCCCCCCAAAAGUGUCAGAGUGAUGUAUGCACAGGGGAUAGUAGCUUUGUUUCCCUAUCUAGAAGACCCAUACUCACAACAUGGAUAUGAACAUUACUACGAUCCAGAGAGUGACUCAGGAUACCUUGCAUGGCGAUUGAAGACCAUACAAAGAAAAACAGCAGAGGAAAGAGGUGCCUCAGUCAGCAAAUCUCCUAAAGUUGGUGGGCCAGGUCUUGUUCGUCAGCCCUCCACCUUUGACAGAAAGCCAUCUGAUGAGGAUGUGGAAGCAGCUAUUGCUGUUAUGAGACACUCUGGUGAUGAAAAGACUGUCAGUGACAAAAUGAAAAUGACCUUCAUAUAUCGGCAAGCAAUGGUCAACGAUGAAGCCAAAUCAUCAGAUGUCUUCUUGGUCUUCCCACGAUUUCUGGACACACCAGGACUGAUAAAACAAGAUUUCAGAUUUCUGUUUGGUGAGGCCACGGCAAACAAAUUCUUGGAGAAGUGGCCAACCACUUUUAAAGCAAAAGUAAUAAAGGAAAGCCAUGGACUUGUACCCACCACAGAACUCUUGGAUUUGAUGUCCAAUGCUGAGUCAGCUGCUUAAGUUGAGAAUGGAUGGGACAGUGACAUGUCAAUCAAUCAAUCAAUCAAACUUUAUUUAUAAAGUGCAUUACAAC